GACGAACGCUGGCGGCGUGCCUAAUACAUGCAAGUCGAACGCAGUGGGGACGGGUGAGUAACACGUGGGUAACCUCCCCUCAGAGGGGAUAACACUUGGAAACAGGUGCUAAACCGUUACUGAUGGAUGAACCCGCUGUGCAUUAGCUAGUUGGGGGGGUAACGGCUCACCAAGGCCACGAUGCAUAGACGACCUGAUAGGGUAUGCGUCCCCACUGCGACUGAGACACGGCCCAGACUCCUACGGGAGGCAACGGUAGGGAAUCUUCGGCAAGGGACGAAAGGCUGACCGAGCAACGCCGCGUGAGGGAAGGGGGUUUUCGGAUCGGAAAACUCUGUUGUUAGAAAAGCGGUAUCUAACCAGAAAGCCACGGCUAACUACGUGCCAGCAGCCGCGGUAAUAC
rnacentral:rRNA from 1 species